rnacentral:rRNA from 1 species
UACGUAGGGACCAAGCGUUGUUCGGAUUUACUGGGCGUAAAGGGCGCGUAGGCGGCUUGUCAAGUCACUUGUGAAAUCUCUGGGCUUAACCCAGAACGGCCAAGUGAAACUGACAUGCUAGAGUGCAGAAGGGGCAAUCGGAAUUCUUGGUGUAGCGGUGAAAUGCGUAGAUAUCAAGAGGAACACCUGAGGUGAAGACGGGUUGCUGGGCUAACACUGACGCUGAGGCGCGAAAGCCAGGGGAGCAAACGGG